AUGGUCGAGGAGGAUGGAAUUGAUGGUUGUUUUGAGUUGAGGUGGCUCUCCUCUCCUUCCCUCCCCCCUCCCCACUCUCCCUCUCCCCGUGUGGCCCCGCUCCCUGUUGGCCUUGCUCCAGCGAUCUCUUCACCCACCGUGUCGCCCCUCUCCUCCCCCUUCCCCUCCUCGUCGUUGCUGCGCCCGUCAGCGGCCUCGGCGCCGCCUUUCGGAUCUCGGUUCUGGGCUCUCAGCGAUGAUGGAUAUGAAUACUUUGAUGGGGAGGCCGCUCCUUCUCUGGCGCCUCCAUUGCCUACGCUGGCUUCCAAGGGUUCGUCUCGCCCUCGCAAGUUUGCCCCUAGGGGCAGGGGCCGACCAGUGGCGUCGCUGGAGGGGCCCUCUAGCUGGCACCGUGUGUCUCGCCGUCGUUGGAAAUCUGGUAAAUUCUCUACUCCCUCUGCGGCCACGAGUAUCCUUGGUGUAGCACCGUCCAUGGUGAGGAUGAUGGCCGAUAGCGUGUACUCCCCUGGCUUGGGCGGAAAUGCCACGGUAGAAGAGGCCUCACUAAAGAGCAUGCAAUACCUGAAGGUGGUUAUUAAAGAGACCUUGCGGCUACACCCUCCUGCCUCGCUCUUCCCUAGAGUGGACCCAAACUAUUGGAACGAGACACAAAAAUUCAUGCCAGAGAGAUUUGAAGGCGAUGGUGUUGUCGACUUCAGAGGUUUGGACUUUAAGUUCACUCCUUUCGGUGUUGGGCGGAGGAUUUGCCCUAGGAUUGAUUUUGCGUAUUCAAAUCUUGAGAUUGCAUUGGCUAGCCUAAUUUACCAUUUGGACUGGGAGCUUCCUCCCAGAGUGGACCCAAGGGAAAUAGACAUGACAGAGGUGUUUGGAGCAAUUGUUCGAAGGAAGGCUGAGCUAUUCCUAAGUCCCAUUCCUCAUGUCCCCCUCUAG
rnacentral:rRNA from 1 species